AUCAGUGUGUGUGUUAGUGGAAGCGUCUGGAAAGGCGUGCGAUACAGGGUGACAGCCCCGUACACAAAAAUGCACAUGCUGUGAGCUCGAUGAGUAGGGCGGGACACGUGGUAUCCUGUCUGAAUAUGGGGGGACCAUCCUCCAAGGCUAAAUACUCCUGACUGACCGAUAGUGAACCAGUACCGUGAGGGAAAGGCGAAAAGAACCCCGGCGAGGGGAGUGAAAAAGAACCUGAAACCGUGUACGUACAAGCAGUGGGAGCACGCUUAGGCGUGUGACUGCGUACCUUUUGUAUAAUGGGUCAGCGACUUAUAUUCUGUAGCAAGGUUAACCGAAUAGGGGAGCCGAAGGGAAACCGAGUCUUAACUGGGCGUUAAGUUGCAGGGUAUAGACCCGAAACCCGGUGAUCUAGCCAUGGGCAGGUUGAAGGUUGGGUAACACUAACUGGAGGACCGAACCGACUAAUGUUGAAAAAUUAGCGGAUGACUUGUGGCUGGGGGUGAAAGGCCAAUCAAACCGGGAGAUAGCUGGUUCUCCCCGAAAGCUAUUUAGGUAGCGCCUCGUGAAUUCAUCUCCGGGGGUAGAGCACUGUUUCGGCAAGGGGGUCAUCCCGACUUACCAACCCGAUGCAAACUGCGAAUACCGGAGAAUGUUAUCACGGGAGACACACGGCGGGUGCUAACGUCCGUCGUGAAGAGGGAAACAACCCAGACCGCCAGCUAAGGUCCCAAAGUCAUGGUUAAGUGGGAAACGAUGUGGGAAGGCCCAGACAGCCAGGAUGUUGGCUUAGAAGCAGCCAUCAUUUAAAGAAAGCGUAAUAGCUCACUGGUCGAGUCGGCCUGCGCGGAAGAUGUAACGGGGCUAAACCAUGCACCGAAGCUGCGGCAGCGACGCUGAUGCGUUGUUGGGUAGGGGAGCGUUCUGUAAGCCUGCGAAGGUGUGCUGUGAGGCAUGCUGGAGGUAUCAGAAGUGCGAAUGCUGACAUAAGUAACGAUAAAGCGGGUGAAAAGCCCGCUCGCCGGAAGACCAAGGGUUCCUGUCCAACGUUAAUCGGGGCAGGGUGAGUCGACCCCUAAGGCGAGGCCGAAAGGCGUAGUCGAUGGGAAACAGGUUAAUAUUCCUGUACUUGGUGUUACUGCGAAGGGGGGACGGAGAAGGCUAUGUUGGCCGGGCGACGGUUGUCCCGGUUUAAGCGUGUAGGCUGGUUUUCCAGGCAAAUCCGGAAAAUCAAGGCUGAGGCGUGAUGACGAGGCACUACGGUGCUGAAGCAACAAAUGCCCUGCUUCCAGGAAAAGCCUCUAAGCAUCAGGUAACAUCAAAUCGUACCCCAAACCGACACAGGUGGUCAGGUAGAGAAUACCAAGGCGCUUGAGAGAACUCGGGUGAAGGAACUAGGCAAAAUGGUGCCGUAACUUCGGGAGAAGGCACGCUGAUAUGUAGGUGAAGCGACUUGCUCGUGGAGCUGAAAUCAGUCGAAGAUACCAGCUGGCUGCAACUGUUUAUUAAAAACACAGCACUGUGCAAACACGAAAGUGGACGUAUACGGUGUGACGCCUGCCCGGUGCCGGAAGGUUAAUUGAUGGGGUCAGCGCAAGCGAAGCUCUUGAUCGAAGCCCCGGUAAACGGCGGCCGUAACUAUAACGGUCCUAAGGUAGCGAAAUUCCUUGUCGGGUAAGUUCCGACCUGCACGAAUGGCGUAAUGAUGGCCAGGCUGUCUCCACCCGAGACUCAGUGAAAUUGAACUCGCUGUGAAGAUGCAGUGUACCCGCGGCAAGACGGAAAGACCCCGUGAACCUUUACUAUAGCUUGACACUGAACAUUGAGCCUUGAUGUGUAGGAUAGGUGGGAGGCUUUGAAGUGUGGACGCCAGUCUGCAUGGAGCCGACCUUGAAAUACCACCCUUUAAUGUUUGAUGUUCUAACGUGGACCCGUGAUCCGGGUUGCGGACAGUGUCUGGUGGGUAGUUUGACUGGGGCGGUCUCCUCCUAAAGAGUAACGGAGGAGCACGAAGGUUGGCUAAUCCUGGUCGGACAUCAGGAGGUUAGUGCAAUGGCAUAAGCCAGCUUGACUGCGAGCGUGACGGCGCGAGCAGGUGCGAAAGCAGGUCAUAGUGAUCCGGUGGUUCUGAAUGGAAGGGCCAUCGCUCAACGGAUAAAAGGUACUCCGGGGAUAACAGGCUGAUACCGCCCAAGAGUUCAUAUCGACGGCGGUGUUUGGCACCUCGAUGUCGGCUCAUCACAUCCUGGGGCUGAAGUAGGUCCCAAGGGUAUGGCUGUUCGCCAUUUAAAGUGGUACGCGAGCUGGGUUUAGAACGUCGUGAGACAGUUCGGUCCCUAUCUGCCGUGGGCGCUGGAGAACUGAGGGGGGCUGCUCCUAGUACGAGAGGACCGGAGUGGACGCAUCACUGGUGUUCGGGUUGUCAUGCCAAUGGCACUGCCCGGUAGCUAAAUGCGGAAGAGAUAAGUGCUGAAAGCAUCUAAGCACGAAACUUGCCCCGAGAUGAGUUCUCCCUGACUCCUUGAGAGUCCUGAAGGAACGUUGAAGACGACGACGUUGAUAGGCCGGGUGUGUAAGCGCAGCGAUGCGUUGAGCUAACCGGUACUAAUGAACCGUGAGGCUUAACCUUACAACGCCGAAGGUGUUU
rnacentral:rRNA from 1 species